UACAGAGGGUGCGAGCGUUAAUCGGAAUUACUGGGCGUAAAGCGUGCGUAGACGGUUAUUUAAGUCGGGUGUGAAAGCCCCGGGCUCAACCUGGGAAUUGCAUUCGAGACUGAAUAGCUAGGGUACGGUAGAGGGAAGUGGAAUUUCAGGUGUAGCGGUGAAAUGCGUAGAUAUCUGAAGGAACAUCAGUGGCGAAAGCGACUUCCUGGACCAAUACUGACGCUCAUGUGCGAAAGCGUGGGGAGCAAACAGG
rnacentral:rRNA from 1 species